UACGUAGGGGGCAAGCGUUAUCCGGAUUUACUGGGUGUAAAGGGAGCGUAGACGGCGAUGCAAGCCAGAUGUGAAAGCCCGGGGCUCAACCCCGGGACUGCAUUUGGAACUGUAUAGCUAGAGUGUCGGAGAGGCAGGCGGAAUUCCUAGUGUAGCGGUGAAAUGCGUAGAUAUUAGGAGGAACACCAGUGGCGAAGGCAGCUUACCAGACUGUAACUGACGCUGAAGCACGAGAGCGUGGGUAGCAAACAGG
rnacentral:rRNA from 1 species